AUUGAACGCUGGCGGCAUGCUUUACACAUGCAAGUCGAACGGUAACAGGCCGCAAGGUGCUGACGAGUGGCGAACGGGUGAGUAAUGCAUCGGAACGUGCCCAGUCGUGGGGGAUAACGCAGCGAAAGCUGCGCUAAUACCGCAUACGAUCUAUGGAUGAAAGCGGGGACCGUAAGGCCUCGCGCGAUUGGAGCGGCCGAUAUCAGAUUAGGUAGUUGGUGGGGUAAAGGCUCACCAAGCCAGACGAUCUGUAGCUGGUCUGAGAGGACGACCAGCCACACUGGGACUGAGACACGGCCCAGACUCCUACGGGAGGCAGCAGUGGGGAAUUUUGGACAAUGGGGCAACCUAUCCAGCAAUGCCGCGUGCAGGAAGAAGGCCUCGGGUUGUAAACUGCUUUUUGUACGGAACGAAACGGCUCUGGUUAAUACCCGGGGCUAAUGACGGUACCGUAAGAAUAAGCACCGGCUAACUACGUGCCAGCAGCCGCGGUAAUACGUAGGGUGCGAGCGUUAAUCGGAAUUACUGGGCGUAAAGCGUGCGCAGGCGGUGCUGUAAGACAGGCGUGAAAUCCCGGGCUCAACCUGGGAAUGGCGCUUGUGACUGCAGUGCUGGAGUGCGGCAGAGGGGGAUGGAAUUCCGCGUGUAGCAGUGAAAUGCGUAGAUAUGCGGAGG
rnacentral:rRNA from 1 species